rnacentral:rRNA from 1 species
CCCUUAGAUGUUCUGGGCCGCACGCGCGCUACACUGAUGCAUUCAACGAGUUUUUCCUGGUCCGAGAGGAAUGGGUAACCUUUUGAAAGUGCAUCGUGAUAGGGAUAGACUAUUGCAAUUAUUGAUCUUCAACGAGGAAUUCCUAGUAGACGUAGUUCAUCAGACUGCAUCGAUUACGUCCCUGCCCUUUGUACACACCGCCCGUCGCUCCUACCGAUUGAAUGCUCAGGUGAGCCAUUCGGACUUUCAUCAUGCUGGUUUCCAGUUUUGAUGAAGGAAAGUCUUGCGAACCUUAUCAUUUAGAGGAAGGAGAAGUCGUAACA